rnacentral:rRNA from 1 species
GACGAACGCUGGCGGCGUGCUUAACACAUGCAAGUCGAACGGAAAGGCCCUGCUUUUGUGGGGUGCUCGAGUGGCGAACGGGUGAGUAACACGUGAGUAACCUGCCCUUGACUUUGGGAUAACUUCAGGAAACUGGGGCUAAUACCGGAUAGGAGCUCCUGCUGCAUGGCGGGGGUUGGAAAGUUUCGGCGGUUGGGGAUGGACUCGCGGCUUAUCAGCUUGUUGGUGGGGUAGUGGCUUACCAAGGCUUUGACGGGUAGCCGGCCUGAGAGGGUGACCGGCCACAUUGGGACUGAGAUACGGCCCAGACUCCUACGGGAGGCAGCAGUGGGGAAUAUUGCACAAUGGGCGGAAGCCUGAUGCAGCAACGCCGCGUGCGGGAUGACGGCCUUCGGGUUGUAAACCGCUUUCGCCCGUGACGAAGCGUGAGUGACGGUAAUGGGUAAAGAAGCACCGGCUAACUACGUGCCAGCAGCCGCGGUGAUACGUAGGGUGCGAGCGUUGUCCGGAUUUAUUGGGCGUAAAGGGCUCGUAGGUGGUUGAUCGCGUCGGAAGUGUAAUCUUGGGGCUUAACCCUGAGCGUGCUUUCGAUACGGGUUGACUUGAGGAAGGUAGGGGAGAAUGGAAUUCCUGGUGGAGCGGUGGAAUGCGCAGAUAUCAGGAGGAACACCAGUGGCGAAGGCGGUUCUCUGGGCCUUUCCUGACGCUGAGGAGCGAAAGCGUGGGGAGCGAACAGGCUUAGAUACCCUGGUAGUCCACGCUGUAAACGGUGGGUACUAGGUGUGGGGUCCAUUCCACGGGUUCCGUGCCGUAGCUAACGCUUUAAGUACCCCGCCUGGGGAGUACGGCCGCAAGGCUAAAACUCAAAGGAAUUGACGGGGCCCCGCACAAGCGGCGGAGCAUGCGGAUUAAUUCGAUGCAACGCGUAGAACCUUACCUGGGUUUGACAUGGAUCGGGAGCGCUCAGAGAUGGGUGUGCCUCUUUUGGGGUCGGUUCACAGGUGGUGCAUGGCUGUCGUCAGCUCGUGUCGUGAGAUGUUGGGUUAAGUCCCGCAACGAGCGCAACCCUUGUUCACUGUUGCCAGCACGUUAUGGUGGGGACUCAGUGGAGACCGCCGGGGUCAACUCGGAGGAAGGUGGGGAUGACGUCAAGUCAUCAUGCCCCUUAUGUCCAGGGCUUCACGCAUGCUACAAUGGCUGGUACAGAGAGUGGCGAGCCUGUGAGGGUGAGUGAAUCUCGGAAAGCCGGUCUCAGUUCGGAUUGGGGUCUGCAACUCGACCUCAUGAAGUCGGAGUCGCUAGUAAUCGCAGAUCAGCAACGCUGCGGUGAAUACGUUCCCGGG